rnacentral:rRNA from 1 species
UACGUAGGUGGCAAGCGUUGUCCGGAUUCAUUGGGCGUAAAGAGCGUGUAGGCGGCCAGGUAGGUCGGUUGUGAAAACUGGAGGCUCAACCUUCAGAAGGUCGACCGAAACCAUCUGGCUAGAGUCCGGGAGAGGAGAGUGGAAUUCCUGGUGUAGCGGUGAAAUGCGCAGAUAUCAGGAAGAACACCCGUGGCGAAAGCGGCUCUCUGGAACGGUACUGACGCUGAGACGCGAAAGCGUGGGGAGCGAACAGG